rnacentral:snoRNA from 1 species
CUGGAAGUGAUGGACAGCUCUUUUCUUGACUCUCAAUGAUGCUGAAUGUAUUCAUACUGUCUGAUCCAG